UAGGCUGCAACUCGCCUACACGAAGUUGGAAUUGCUAGUAAUCGCGGAUCAGAAUGCCGCGGUGAAUACGUUCCCGGGUCUUGUACACACCGCCCGUCACACCAUGGGAGUCGGAAAUGCCCGAAGUCUGUGACCCAACCUGAGAGGGAGGGAGCAGCCGAAGGCAGGUCUGAUGACUGGGGUGAAGUCGUAACAAGGUAUC
rnacentral:rRNA from 1 species